GACGAAUCGUGCGAACGUUGUUCGGAAUCACUGGGCUUAAAGGGCGCGUAGGCGGGCUAUCAAGUCCGGGGUGAAAUCCUCCAGCUCAACUGGAGAACUGCCUCGGAUACUGAUGGUCUCGAGGAGGAUAGGGGCACACGGAACUGUGGGUGGAGCGGUGAAAUGCGUUGAUAUCCAUAGGAACUCCGGUGGCGAAAGCGGUGUGCUGGAUCCUUUCUGACGCUGAGGCGCGAAAGCCAGGGGAGCAAACGGG
rnacentral:rRNA from 1 species